CCCCUGUACUCCUCAUUUGAGUAUGACCCCCAAAACAUCAAAAGGGAAUUGUCCUUGCACCGUCACAAUGGAGACUUUAUGACUUAACUGGGGGCAAUGAGACAUGAUGCUGCCUGGUGCACCCGAGCUGCGAGCAGCUGCCAGAGGAGUGGUCAAGUUUGUGUGCAGGGCCAGCUGGAAGCCUCAGGGUGCCUGGAACGAACACUUGGCUUUGAAUUCUGUCCUAGGGUGAAUUUAUAUUUGGUUUCUAGGUCUAGCUCAAACUUUCCUUCUUUAUCAACUAGAACAAACUUGCCAAAUAAUUUCACUUCUCUCAUCAAGUAAUAGUGCAUGAGUAAAGCUCACCCACAUAGGGUGGCAGAGUCUAGAUCAUGGGAGCAGGUGGCUGCACCACCAAGAUGCACGGCUUUUUGCCCACCAAGGCAGCAGAGGCCUUUAAAACCCCUGUGAGCUCCUCGUGCUGGCUGAGACAGGUACUGCCUUAGCUACAAGGGUGGGACGUAGGCUGUCCACCAAGUGGUUCAAGCAUUGUUCAUUCAUCCCCUCAUUAAUUCAGCUGGCAUUUCCUAAGCACACGGGAUGUGCCAGGCACAGUGCUAGGCAUGGAACUGAUCCUUGCCUGCCUGGAAGGUACUGAGAGUGUUGGGCUGAGGCCAUGGCUCCACAUUCCCAAGCCCAUUCAUCUCCUGUUCAUCCUGCCUAGAAAACACGGUAAGGACAGGAAUGAGAAAGAGUUGCAUGAGGGAGCUGUGGGGGCUUUCCCUCUCCAGAUUCCAGGCAAAGAUCCACAGGCAAAGGAGACGGGAAAGGCCAACCUGCUGCCUCCAAGUGGGAUCAGCUCUGGAUGCAGUUCACACUCUAGAGACCCUGCGGGCUCAGGCCCAGGCCAUAUCCUGGCUGAGCUUUCCCUCAUCACACCCCUUCUCCUGAGAGCACCCCCAUCCAUCACUGGAACAGAGGUCCCCGCCCCAGCCUCUGGGGAACCCAGCCUGAGGCAGGAACUGUUUCGGAGUAACAAAGCCAGCAACAGGAGGAGCCAAGACCCACAGGGAGACCUGUCUGACUUAGAAUCCUGCCUUCCUUCCAGUGCUAGAAAGUAAAUCUGCUGUGGUUUGAAUGUUUGUGAACUGCCCCAAAUCCAUCUGUUGAAAUCCUAACCCUCUAGGUGAUGGUGUUAGGAAGUAUGGUCUUUGGGAGGUCAUAGGUCAUAGGGGUGGGGCUCUCAUGACCGGGUUUAGUGCCCUUAUAAAAGAGACCCCAGAGAUACCCACUGCCCCUUACACCGCAUGGGGACACAGUGAGGAGGCACCACAUAUGAACCAGGAAGCACUCACCAGAUACCCACCGAGUCUGCUGGUGCCUUGAUCUUCUAUUUCCCAGUCUACAAAACUGUGAGACAUAAAUGCUUGUUAUUUAUAAGCCACUCUGUUUGUGGUGUUCUGUGAUACCAACCCAAAUGAACUAAGA
rnacentral:lncRNA from 13 species